rnacentral:rRNA from 1 species
UAUUGGACAAUGGGGGGAACCCUGAUCCAGCGACGCCGCGUGAGCGAAGAAGUAUUUCGGUAUGUAAAGCUCUAUCAGCAGGGAAGAAAGAAAUGACGGUACCUGACUAAGAGGCCCCGGCUAACUACGUGCCAGCAGCCGCGGUAAUACGUAGGGGGCAAGCGUUAUCCGGAUUUACUGGGUGUAAAGGGGGCGUAGACGGGGAUGCAAGUCUGAAGUGAAAGGCGGGGGCCCAACCCCCGGACUGCUUGGGAAACUGUAUGGCUGGAGUGCAGGAGAGGUAAGUGGAAUUCCUAGUGUAGCGGUGAAAUGCGUAUAUAUUAGGAGGAACACCAGUGGCGAAGGCGGCUUACUGGACUGUAACUGACGUUGAGGCUCGAAAGCGUGGGGAGCAAACAG